rnacentral:lncRNA from 1 species
AAAAUUAUGAUAUUUCUAAUCUUUUUAUUAAUUAAUUUGAAUUAUAAAAUUAAGUUUUAAAAAAUUAAAAAUAAAAUAUAAAUACAUAAUAAAUAUUCAAAUUGAAUGAUCGAUUAAUUCUAAUUAAUUAUGCCAAAUAUUUUGCCUAAAAACAAAAAUAAAAGAUAAAAAAAGAAUAAAAAACGGGCACAAGUGUCCUCGAAAAAUUAAAGUGAUUGCACCAUAAUGUUCAGGGAGAAAUAAACUUCUCAGAAAUAUACUGGUUUUUG